UUGAACGCUGGCGGCAUGCCUAACACAUGCAGGUCGAACGGUAACGGACCGCUGGGAUUCCUUCGGGAUGACCUUGGUGCCGACGAGUGGCGGACGGGUGAGUAAUACUUAGGAAUCUGCCCAGUAGUGGGGGACAACAUUCGGAAACGGAUGCUAAUACCGCAUACGCCCUACGGGGGAAAGCGGGGGAUCUUCGGACCUCGCGCUAUUGGAUGAGCCUAAGUCGGAUUAGCUUGUUGGUGAGGUAAUAGCUCACCAAGGCGACGAUCCGUAGCUGGUCUGAGAGGACGAUCAGCCACACUGGGACUGAGACACGGCCCAGACUCCUACGGGAGGCAGCAGUGGGGAAUAUUGGACAAUGGGCGCAAGCCUGAUCCAGCAAUGCCGCGUGUGUGAAGAAGGCCUGCGGGUUGUAAAGCACUUUCAGUAGAGAAGAAAAGCCCAGGGUUAAUACCCCUGAGUCUUGACGUAACCUACAGAAGAAGCACCGGCUAACUCCGUG
rnacentral:rRNA from 1 species